rnacentral:misc_RNA from 1 species
GAAAUGCGAUAAGUAAUGUGAAUUGCAGGAUUCAGUGAAUCAUCAAAUCUUUGAACGCACAUUGCACUCUCUGGUAUUCCGGAGAGUAUGCCCGUUUCAGAAUCAUCAAAGUAAUCUCACCCACUACUGUGGUGUGGAUUUUGGAUAAUUGGGGUUUUGCCCAAUUGUUUGAAAAUAAUUGUAUGUGCUCCAACUCCUAACAGUGGGUCAUCAAGGUGCAACAGAUUAUUGAUCUAUUUCACUUUGUAGCCUAUUGCAAUGGGUUUUGAAGCUAGCAUACUUUAUUCUAAAUAGUUAUCCACCUCUUUUGGGAAGUAACUAAUACCGUGGUCUGAAAUCGGGUAGGAAAACCCGCUGAACUUAA